GACGAACCGUGCGAACGUCGUUCGGAAUCACUGGGCUUAAAGGGCGCGUAGGCGGCUUCGCAAGUCCGGGGUGAAAGCCUCCAGCUCAACUGGAGAAGUGCCUUGGAUACUGCGGGGCUCGAGGGAGGUAGGGGUGCGUGGAACUUCCGGUGGAGCGGUGAAAUGCGUUGAUAUCGGAAGGAACGCCGGUGGCGAAAGCGACGCACUGGACCUCUUCUGACGCUGAGGCGCGAAAGCCAGGGGAGCAAACGGG
rnacentral:rRNA from 1 species